GACGAACGCUGGCGGCGUGCCUAAUACAUGCAAGUAGAACGCAGUUGCGAACGGGUGAGUCACGCGUAGGUAACUGCCUCAUAGCGGGGGAUAACUAUUGGAACCGAUAGCUCAUACCGCAUACUUUGCGAUGGACCUGCUUUGUAUUAGCUAGUUGGUGAGGUAAAGGCUCACCAAGGCGACGAUACAUAGCCGACCUGAGAGGGGGAGCGGCCAAACUGGGACUGAGACACGGCGCAGACGCCUACGGGAGGCCGAAGUAGGGAAUCUUAGGAAAUGGACGGAAGUCUGACCGAGAAACGGCGCGUGAGUGAAGAAGGGUUUCGGAUCGUAAAGCUCUGUUGUGAGAGAAGCGGUAACUAACAAGAAAGGGACGGCUAACUACGUGCCAGCAGCCGCGGUAAUUC
rnacentral:rRNA from 1 species